UAGUCCACGCCCUAACGAUGUUUACUCGAUAUUCGGCUCUUAGAGUUGAGUGUCCAAGGGAAACCGAUAAGUAAACCACCUGGGGAGUACGUUCGCAAGAAUGAAACUCAAAGGAAUUGACGGGGGUCCGCACAAGCGGUGGAGUAUGUGGUUUAAUUCGAUGAUACGCGAGGAACCUUACCUAGGCUACAAUGCCUCUGCUACUGGGUGAAAGCUCAGGUUCCUUCGGGACAGAGUGCAAGGUGCUGCAUGGUUGUCGUCAGCUCGUGCCGUGAGGUGUUGGGUUAAGUCCCGCAACGAGCGCAACCCCUAUCGUUAGUUGCCAGCAAGUCAUGUUGGGGACUCUAACGAGACUGCCUUCGCAAGAAGUGAGGAAGGCGGGGAUGACGUCAAAUCAUCAUGGCCCUUACGCCUAGGGCGACACACGUGCUACAAUGGACGGUACAGCGGGUAGCGACACUGCGAAGUGAAGUCAAUCCCUAAAAGCCGUCCUCAGUUCGGA
rnacentral:rRNA from 1 species